CUGGGACAGUUUCUGCAUGUCUUUUGACCCUUGACAGAUUACUGAAGGAUAGUGAUGCAGGUUUUUGGGGAGCUGAGCUAUUGGAAACAGCAGAUGCAACCGGGAUAGCUUUGAGCCAGUCAUGUCUCUGCUGACCUUGUGUGAUCUGUUCCAUAUCUCCACAGAGUCCUGUUGCAGGUCCUCCGUACGUAGCUGGCUUUUAAUACAUUCUCAGGUGUGCACAGUUUGUCUUACUUCAGUAGUCCAUGGUGGUGUGUUCUCCUCAGGGUGAAAAUAAAUUCCUGCAACAGAAUUUCUUCCAGAAUGUCUGCAAGGGUUGGUAAAGCAGUGUUUGAAGACAAUUCCAUGUUGUAACUCACCUCGUGUAAGCAGGCGCAAUCCACAGUGAUGGCUGGUGUAUAAUUCCCCUUGCCAUGAGGAGGCGGUAUGGCAGUAUUCUGAAGCUGAACCCAUCAACUUCACCUUUUUGGCUCUGGAUGUCGUUACAGUUCUGCCUGCAAGACUGGCACCCUGCUCGCAGGUGCUUUACCAUGAUCCAAUGGUUACAUGAGAGCUCAUGUUGUGCCUGGGACCCCCAAGACUACCUCUGUGAUAAUCCCCUGCAGCAUCAGAGCCACUUUGUACCUUGCGUUGGUUGUGCAUUGCUGGGUUAUAGAGAAUGAUGUGAGUCAUGUCAUGGCGUGUAGCUUCUUUCCUUGUUUUUUCUCAUCUCACCCACCUGUGUGUUGUACCUAUACCAACAAUGAGUUGUAAUUGCAAUGGGCCAAUGCAUGCACCUGCUAACGUCUCUGUUUAGUGCUAUUUUUCCAUUGGCAAUCGCUCUUGAAUCUCAAAUGGGGAGCCAGUUUUUAAUCCAUAGAUUGCAUACCCUAUGGGUUGCUCAGAGCAUACGUUUGUUACUUGAGAUGUCACAGAAGGAAGUUUGAGGCAAAGAAUGUUGUCCUUCAUGUUCCUCUCCUCAUGAGAAGGUGAUUGUGGGAAAGACUGGUUCCUGAAAACUUUGCUCAG
rnacentral:lncRNA from 1 species